GGGGAAAAUUGUCCCGCUAAGGCCUCAUUUGGUUUCAGCGAAUCCCCCUGGGAUCCUUGCCUUUUCCCCGGGCCGACAAACCACGGACAGAAUAAAACCCCGGAAUUCUCACGAUCGCGUUUGGACGCCCACGAGAAAGGGGUACCCCUGGCCUUUCCCCGGCCUUUCCCCGGAAAGGCUCCCACGAGUGGAGACAUCGGGGAGGAAACCCUCGCUUCUUCUGUCUCGCACUCAUGAACGACUGGCGGCGGCGACUGGAAGACCUCCUCCGUCCACCGCUCAAGUCUCCUCCGUCCACCGCUCCUGCCUCCUCCGUCCGGCGACUGCGACACCCCUGCCCUCCUCCCUUCGACGCUCUGCCCCUCCAGAUGGGGCGACGGGACCGGGGUCGACAUCCUACUACUUCCCAGAUCUCGUCUCCACCCCCAAGAUCUUCACCUUCCGAUGAUGACGACGGCCAGGAGAUCAUGCUCCUCUUCGUCCAAGAUCCAAGAGCCUCCUCUCCUGUUUGAGUUUUGUAUCACAAGAACCAAUACCGAAGAACAUCCAUCGUUUGCAGUAGUGUUUCUACCUGACUAUCCUGACCUCACAACAAAGCCAAUUGAUAGUAUUAUCGAUGCAGUGCUAUUAAGUCAUCAAUUACUAAUGUACUGUUAGAAAACGGCCUUUACUGAUUGAAGGAGAAAAUUGCUACCAAGGAGAAAACAUAAGGUAUGUAAUUUUGAAGUACUCCCUUCGUUCCGAAUUACUUCUCGCAGAUAUGGAUGUAUCUAGAUGUAUUUUAGUUCUAGAUACAUCCAUUUUUAUGACAAGUAAUUUGGAACGGAGGGAGUACCAAUUUAGAGGUGCAGUUUUGUGUUUUCUUCCAUUGGGCAUUUUUCAAUUUGUUCAUGAAUUUGCACAUGUUAACUCAUAAGCAGAGGAAUAUCUUGUGGAGAAAACAGAGGGUGUAUACAAAUGAGUUCAUGCUCUUGUCAGUUUUUCGUUGGGAAUUAUCUUGUGUUUUUGUGUUAAUGCACCUCUACAGCUUUAGCUCCUUAUGUCCAUCAUGUCGGCGCUGGCGACAUUGAACAUGUCGACGAUGGGGGCAGUGCCAUCCUUGACGAUUCAGUUCAGGAUCCCCCACUUGGCGGCGUCCUUGGCGCUGUAGCUCUCUUUCGGGUUCAGCCCGCAGCCGAUGGAGACGGCCAUGAACUUGCCGUAUGUUGGAAUAAACCCAAAUCUGCACCUAGUAUAUUUCUCUGCCAUGGUUUCCUAAAGCUAGCCAAUGAAAAUGUUCAAAGAAGUUGAUCUUGAAAGUUUCAGUAGUGACUAUCCCAGCAGCAACACAUUUUGGCAUGGAUGAUUUACACAGAUACAUGUUGAUAAUGGAACUAAAUGAUUAUUCUUGCUGGAUUUCUACCUUAGUUAGCAUUUCCUCUGUUAAACCAUGAUUAGCACGCUAAAUUUAUUCGCAGUGCCAUUAUUUGUGCGACUGAACAUGUAUAACUUAUGUCAGCAUGUUUGAUGUGGAUUGAAGUGUUUUUUUUUACAGAUUA